UACAGAGGUCUCAAGCGUUGUUCGGAAUCACUGGGCGUAAAGGGUGCGUAGGCGGCACGGUAAGUCAGAGGUGAAAUCCCGGAGCUCAACUUCGGAAUUGCCUCCGAUACUGCCGUGCUUGAGGACUGGAGAGGAGAUUGGAAUUCACAGUGGAGCAGUGAAAUGCGUAGAUAUUGUGAGGAACACUAGUGGCGAAGGCGAAUCUCUGGACAGUUCCUGACGCUGAGGCACGAAGGCCAGGGGAGCAAACGGGG
rnacentral:rRNA from 1 species